rnacentral:lncRNA from 1 species
UUCGGUGUAUGAAGUCCAUUAUCUUAUAUACUCUGAUAAUAUCAGCCCCACUACUUAAAAAGAUGGAGACAGGAGAAGCGGGUUCCGAUAUGGUUGCGGUGAGGUCCACUUCCUCCAGGUUCCCGAUUCGGGCUCCAUCGACUCUCCAAUGCUGCAGGCAAUUGAGAAAAAGGUAUUAUCCAUGCAUCUCACUUUUCCUCUCUCCUACUCGUGUUUGGGCCCGCUUGAUUUUAUAUAUGUAUGGCGACGAGGACAAUUCGUCUAAAUAGAAGAAGAAAAUGAAAGCAUCCUGGGUUGGAUUGCCAUUUAGGAGAAUGAAAUAAUUGUGAAUGAUAUUACUCGGCAGUUUUAGUCUUUAAUGUGUUUGAUAUAUUGUCAAAGCGACAACUGAGCGAAACUCGUCGCCUACUACUCACCGCUACUAUCAAGGCCUGCAUUUGUAGCUUAUUUUCAGAUAAAAUUGGAGCCAUCAAUUUAGUGCUUAUUCAUAAUUUCAUGGUUGUUCUUGUCUUCCCAGGACAUCCUUUGCAUUUUAUUCAAGCAUCAUCCAGAAUCAGCUAGGUGAGCGUAUUGGGGCCAAAGGUUGGAGUUAGUUUAAAACGAAAAGAAGCAUCACCAAAGAAAGUACCUAGGGAAUAUGUCAAAAAUAGUAAUUUGAUGUCUAGAACAAAGUAUCAUUAGAUUUCCCUGCUGAACAUAGCACAUCAAAUGUCAUGUAGUCGCUAAAGUCGAUAUAUGGCAAAUGAGUCUUUCGCUUGGUACCAUAUGCUAAGAAGAUCUAUGGCAAAGGACAUUUUCACCGCAAGAGUUGAAGCUUUUCUGAUUAAAGAGAUGAAUUAGCUGAUCUUUAGACAAUUCACGUCUUUCACAUAAUUCUGAGCUGUCUUUUACAUUGUUGCUUUAUUCUUUAUUUUUAAGUGGAAACAUUCAUCCGUCGACAAGAUUGUCUGUUUUAUAAGAGUAAAAAUCACUAUAAUAGUCCUUACAAAGUAUAUCCUGAACAUAUGCAUUUCCUUUUUCUUACUUGCUUUACCUUUAGCAUAUUAAGGAACAACCGGAUGCAGAUGUUGUCAUCAUGAAGGAUGCCUUUGGAGAUGGUCGACGUGUAAGGUUAGC